rnacentral:rRNA from 1 species
CCUACGGGGGGCAGCAGUGAGGAAUAUUGGUCAAUGGACGAAAGUCUGAACCAGCCAUACCGCGUGCAGGAUGACGGCCCUAUGGGUUGUAAACUGCUUUUUUACAGGAAUAAUUGCAGAUACGUGUAUUUGUUUGAAGGUACUGUAGGAAUAAGGAUCGGCUAACUCCGUGCCAGCAGCCGCGGUAAUACGGAGGAUUCGAGCGUUAUCCGGAUUUAUUGGGUUUAAAGGGUCCGUAGGCGGGCCAAUAAGUCAGUGGUGAAGUCCCAGAGCUCAACUCUGGAACUGCCAUUGAUACUGUUGGUCUUGAAUUUAGUUGAGGUGGGCGGAAUACGUUAUGUAGCGGUGAAAUGCAUAGAUAUAACGUAGAACACCGAUUGCGAAGGCAGCUCACUAAACUAACAUUGACGCUGAUGGACGAAAGCGUGGGGAGCGAACAGGAUUAGAUACCCUGGUAGUCCACGCCGUAAACGAUGAUUACUCGUUGUGCACAAUACAUCGUGCGUGACUGAGCGAAAGCAUUAAGUAAUCCACCUGGGGAGUACGUUCGCAGGAUUGAAACUCAAAGGAAUUGACGGGGSCCCGCACAAGCGGAGGAACAUGUGGUUUAAUUCGAUGAUACGCGAGGAMCCUUACYUGGACUUAAAUGUAGAUUGACCCUCUUAGAAAUAGGAGUUCUCUUCGGAGCAAUUUACAAGGUGCUGCAUGGUUGUCGUCAGCUCGUGCCGUGAGGUGUCGGGUUAAGUCCCAUAACGAGCGCAACCCCUAUCGUUAGUUGCUAGCAGGUAAUGCUGAGGACUCUAGCGAGACUGCCACCGUAAGGUGAGAGGAAGGUGGGGAUGACGUCAAAUCAGCACGGCCCUUACGUCCAGGGCUACACACGUGUUACAAUGGCCGAUACAAAGGGCAGCUACCAGGUGACUGGAUGCUAAUCUCCAAAGUCGGUCUCAGUUCGGAUCGGAGUCUGCAACUCGACUCCGUGAAGUUGGAUUCGCUAGUAAUCGCAUAUCAGCAACGAUGCGGUGAAUACGUUCCCGGGCCUUGUACACACCGCCCGUC